AGUAUGUAGUAUUUUUUUUUUUAAAGGGAAUUUUAAUAUCAUAUUUUGACAAAAAUUUUAAAAAAAAACGUUUUUGAAGCAAGUACUGGUUUAUUUAGAAUACAGUCUUUAAGAGAAACAAACAAAUGAGCUAGGAAUUUGUCUUUAUGAAUUUUCGAGCAGUUAUUUUUUUGUUGAUGUGUUGAUUAAAUAUUUCUCCCUACUUCACCCAAUCGAAAACUAAAAUAAUUCCACUAUAGAGGGGGGAUUGUACCCUAUGUGAUGAACUAUACAAAGAACACAAAAAUAGAUUUUUUUUAGCUAUAUUUACUAACAUUAAAAAAAAAAACUUAAUUUUAACCUCAAAAACAGAGAAAGAUCAAUUCGACUGAUUUUCAAAAAGACAAUAUAGUUUUCUUCUGAUCGUAGUAUUUUGAAUAAAACUGAUAUUGCAGACCUAAGGGGUGAACUGGAAUGCAAUCCAGCCGGGAAAUCCUUAAUAUUUCCACAUCUCGAAUCAUCAAAACUUAAAACAUG